GGAUAGAAUUUGGAAACAAUUGACCAGUAUAACAGUCUCUGCUGUGUAGAAAGAGAAUCAGAACCAUCUACUGCAGGUGAUCUGUAAAAGGAGACUGUUGUCUUUGACAUUUGCCCUCAACAUAGAAUGGAGACCACAAUGCUAUGUAACUAGAAAUCAACCACAAGAAAAAAAUUGGUGAAGACAGCAAAUACUUG